rnacentral:lncRNA from 1 species
ACAAAUUCACCAUUAAUCAAAAGGAAAAAAAAGAGCGGAACGUGAAACACCAAAUGGGAAAAUAUGGGAGUAAAGGAUUUUGAAAAAUAAAAAUAUAAUAAUCUUUUAAUAAAAUAAACCCAAAAUAAAUACUACCCCAGCACUAAUCCCUAACUAACAUGUUUGUUUAAAAAAAAUUAAUCUAAUCCAACUUCCUCUUCACAGGGAACAAUUAAUAACCUUAACAAAAAAGAAAAAAAAAGAGAAGAUAAUACCCUCUUGCACACACAAAGUCUCAUACUCAAAACCCUCCACAUUCUUCC